GGGCCCGCACAAGCGGUGGAUUAUGUGGAUUAAUUCGAUGCAACGCGAAAAACCUUACCUGGCCUUGACAUGUACCGAAUUUAGCAGAGAUGCUUUAGUGCUCGUAAGAGAACGGUAACACAGGUGCUGCAUGGCUGUCGUCAGCUCGUGUCGUGAGAUGUUGGGUUAAGUCCCGCAACGAGCGCAACCCUUGCCAUUAAUUGCCAUCAUUAAGUUGGGCACUCUAGCAAGACUGCCGGUGCAUAAGCCGGAGGAAGGUGGGGAUGACGUCAAGUCCUCAUGGCCCUUAUGUCCAGGGCUACACACGUGCUACAAUGGGAGGUACAAAGGGUUGCCAACUCGCGAGAGUGAGCUAAUCCCAAAAACCUUCCUCAGUACGGAUUGGAGUCUGCAACUCGACUCCAUGAAGGUGGAAUCGCUAGUAA
rnacentral:rRNA from 1 species